GAUGAACGCUGGCGGCGUGCUUAACACAUGCAAGUCGAACGGAAAGGCUCUUGUUUGCAGGGGUACUCGAGUGGCGAACGGGUGAGUAACACGUGGGUGAUCUGCCCUGCACUUUGGGAUAACCUUGGGAAACUGGGUCUAAUACCGGAUAGGACUAUGGUUUGGAUGCUAUUGUGUAAAGUUUUUGCGGUGUUGGAUGGGCUCUCGGCGUAUCAGCUUGUUGGUGGGGGAAUGGCCUACCAAGGCGUUGACGGGUAGCCGGCCUGAGAGGGUGUACGGCCACAUUGGGACUGAGAUACGGCCCAGACUCCUACGGGAGGCAGCAGUGGGGAAUAUUGCACAAUGGGCGCAAGCCUGAUGCAGCAACGCCGCGUGGGGGAUGACGGCCUUCGGGUUGUAAACUCCUUUCGCUAGGGACGAAGCGCAAGUGACGGUACCUGGAGAAGAAGCACCGGCUAACUACGUG
rnacentral:rRNA from 1 species